rnacentral:lncRNA from 1 species
AUAAGGAUUAAACAUAAUUUAAGAGAAAUUUGCCUUGAAAAAAUGUAUAUCUCUAGGCUAACAUUCAUAUUCCUUGUGAAUGCAGGAACAUUGCUUCAGAUUAUUCUCUUUUAAGAUAUUUUAAAAUAGGUGUGGUUGACUACCUUCUAGUUACACAGAUAGAGAAGAAGAGAGUUACUAAUGUGAGGAAAUUUUAGGAAUUACUCUGACGAGGCUAAUUUUCAGAUGCAGCUUUGCCAAAAUUUGCAUCUCAAAGUUUGCUAUUCCUAGACCACAUUCUGCUUAUUAAUUAAUUUUAGCCUUGAGCCAUCAAAAAGGAAAUCAGACUUAUUUUUAUUCCAUUUUAAUACACUUUCUUCUUAUGAAAGUAACACAAGGCUAUUUUGAGAAAUUAGAAAGUAAAAUCUUGAAGGACAAAGCAUUAAUAAUCCAUAAUCUGUC